AUGCCGGCGAGCUCCUCCCGUGGCGCCCGAAAGGCUGGGAGCUCCUCCCCGCACGCGGACGCCGGCGAGCUCCUCCCUUGGCGCGCGAAGGGCCGAGAGCUCCUCCCCCGCGCGUGGACACCGGCGAGCUCCUCCCCCGGCGUGCGAACGGCCGAUUGCACCUCCCUGCGCGCGUAUGCCGGCGAGCUCCUCCCCCGGCGCGCGGAUGGCCGGUUGCUCCUCCCCCGCGCGCGGACGCUGACGAGCUCCUCCCCCGGCAGGUGCGGAAAUGCUAUACCACGGGAUACCGUCUUGAGCGCGUGGGACGGUAUCGCCUCCUCCUGCACUAUCUCCUUGAGCCAUGUCUUUUCCCCCUUCAUGGUCGCGGUCAUUGCCUGCUCGUCGCUACCGUCUGUGACCGCGCCGAUGCGAACGCUUGAUGAUGAUGUGGGGAUGUGGACGGUGGAGGACGCGGCCUCGGCGACGAGCUCCGGCAUAAGGCAUGGAUGGUGGAGGAUGCGGCCGCCAGCGAUGAGCCCGGCGUGGGGCGUGGCGGAGGAGGACGCGGCCACCGGCGACGAGCUCCGACGUGGAACGUGGAUGGCGGAGGAUGUGGCCGCGCCGGCGACGAUCUCCGGCGUGGACCGUGGAGGAUGCCGCUGCCGGCGACAAGCUCUGGCACGAGACGUGGACGGUGGGAUCACCGGCGACGAUCUCUGGCGUGGAUCGUGGAGGAUGCCGCCGCCGGCGACAAGCUCUGGCACGAGACGUGGACGGUGGGAUCACCGGCGACGAUCUCCGGCGUGGAUCGUGGAGGAUGCCGCCGCCGGCGACAAGCUCCGGCACAAGACGUGGACGGUGGGAUCACCGGCGACGACGCUUUUAGUGCCUGGCUCCUGAUACCUUGCAA
rnacentral:lncRNA from 1 species